ACUCCUACGGUAGUCAGCAGUGGGGAAUAUUGCACAAUGGGCGAAAGCCUGAUGCAGCGACGCCGCGUGAGGGAUGACGGCCUUCGGGUUGUAAACCUCUUUCAGCAGGGACGAAGCGCAAGUGACGGUACCUGCAGAAGAAGCACCGGCUAACUACGUGCCAGCAGCCGCGGUAAU
rnacentral:rRNA from 1 species